UACAGAGGGGGCGAGCGUUGUUCGGAAUUACUGGGCGUAAAGGGCGCGUAGGCGGCCUUCUAAGUCGAACGUGAAAUCCCCGGGCUCAACCCGGGAACUGCGUCCGAUACUGGGAGGCUUGAAUCCGGGAGAGGGAUGUGGAAUUCCAGGUGUAGCGGUGAAAUGCGUAGAUAUCUGGAGGAACACCGGUGGCGAAGGCGGCCUGCUGGGCAGGAGCUGACGCUGAUGCGCGACAGCGUGGGGAGCAAACAGG
rnacentral:rRNA from 1 species